GAGAAGUGAAAAUGCUCUGGGAUUUGAACUGGGUGAAAGAUGUGUAAGUCUAGUUCAACCACACCAAAAUUUAGGAGAAUCCAACCAAAGAUGGAUUUUAUAUGAUUUUUCUAAAUUUGUUACUGCUUGUUGUUUUUCUAAAGUGUACUAAAUCAGUAGCCGAAUGAAGAGAAGGCUGAAUGGAUUAUAUAUGUCACAGAUGUUGGGCAGCAGCAACACUUUGAUAUGGUAUUCAAGUGCUGAUCAACUCUUGCCAUUGCUGCUGAGAAAAGAAGGCCGCCAAGUCCAGAGACGCCAACUUCGAGGUGAAAGUCGCUUUCUAAACUGUCCUUUAGAAACAUGAUGGUAGGUGUUAAUUUUCAUGUCUUGCAUGAUUGAUUUCUCUAAUACUAGUUUAGUUUAUUACUUAUUCCUUCUAUUUGUUUGCAGUUAGAUACAUUGAUUUCUCUAAACUAGUUUGGUUUUUGUGUUUUCUUGAUUCGGUUAAACAAUGACAAAUGGCACAGCAUUUGGAGCUUCUCAAGACAAUAAACUGAAAUGUCUGUUAUUAGUAGCUUAUUAUGUAAUCAAAUAAUAAACUGACAAAAGGCAGAGGACUUUUAAUUUCCACUAACAAACAUUUGAUUCAAUUGCUUAAUAACAAACUAAAACCAAGUCUAGUUUAAAACCAUGUUAAAUUUACUUAAGAAGAACUUGACAGUGAAGCUUAUAUUUCUUAGGUAGCAAAUAAAUGAAUUCCAUACGUACAAUAUUUCAAUCUUAGUUUUAGGAAAUAAUUAAUUUUAGUUCUUUGUUAAUAAUUUCUUGUUUUGGGAUGUUAUGCAUCAGUGCUAUUAGAUGAUACAUCAACUUUUACCGGAGAAAUGACAGCAGGUCCUAAUGCUAAUUCUAUUAGAGGUUUUGAAGUCAUAGAUACCAUAAAAUCCCAAGUAGAGAGCUUGUGCCCUGGUGUUGUGUUUUUGUGCUGAUAUUCUUGCUGUUGCCGCUAGAGAUUUUGUUGUUGCUAUUCUUGCCAAGUGCGAAGUUCCUUAGCCCUGGUGUCAGCGUCAAAGAUUGCUAAAAAGGCUGGAUGUUGUUUAGGAGUUAGAUUAGAUUUUUUUUAGUAUAAAGUUGUUAAUUCUUUUAAAUGUUUAUUUUGGAAGUUGAAUUUAGUUUUUCUUAAUUGUUUCAUUCAUAUCUUAUUAUGUACAUAAUUC